AAUCACUGUUUUAUAGAGGAGAACCUUGUCUUCCUCCAUAGGAAUACUAUUUUCUUUCGAGGAAUAUAAAUUUGACCUUUAAUGUUUUUGUAAGAAGCUGCUGUUGAUUGAAUGGAGCGUUUUUUUUCACCACCAAUUCCUCGAAGAAUUGUGUCUACUACCUGGACUCAAUCUCACAUUAAUUACCUAAGUGCAUAUUUCUUCUGCUUUCAGUGAUUUGCCAUUAGGACUCAUCUGUCUUCAAAAGAACUUUCCUUGCAAUAGAGGCGUUGGAAGAUAGCUCCUGGGAAUAGAUACCAAACCUUACACUUUCACUUAUGCUGAACUGAGGACUGCUACCGAAGACUUCAAUCCUAACAAUAAGCUCGGAGAGGGAGGAUUUGGACCUGUUUAUAAGGGAAAACUCAAUGAUGGGAGAGUAGUCGCUGUGAAGCAACUCUCUGUUACAUCCCACCAGGGAAAGAGCCAAUUCGUAACAGAGAUUGCUACCAUAUCUGCUGUGCAACACCGUAACCUCAUCAAGUUGUAUGGAUGCUGCAUUGAGGUAGAUUGACGACUCCUUGUCUACGAGUAUCUGGAAAACAGGAGUCUUGAUCAAGCAUUAUUUGGCAAGACAUAUCUUAAUCUGAACUGGCCAACACGUUAUGAUAUAUGCUUGGGGAUAGCUCGAGGUCUUGCUUAUCUUCAUGAGGAAUCAAGGCUCCGAAUUGUACACAGAGAUGUGAAGGCCAGCAAUAUUCUCCUUGACUCUGAUCUUAUCCCCAAAAUUUCAGAUUUCGGCUUGGCCAAGCUAUAUGAUGAUAAGAAGACCCACAUAAGCACACGAGUUGCUGGGACAA